GGCGGCGUGCCUAACACAUGCAAGUCGUACGAGAAAGUUGGCUUCGGCCGAUGAGUAAAGUGGCGCACGGGUGAGUAAUGCGUGGAUAAUCUGCCCUUUAGUUGGGAAUAACGUACCGAAAGGUGCGCUAAUACCUGAUAAUACUGCAUAACUACUGUUGUGUAGUCAAAGAAGGCCUCUGUUUACAAGCUUUUGCUGAAGGGUGAGUCCGCGUACCAUUAGCUGGUUGGUGGGGUAAUGGCCUACCAAGGCUACGAUGGUUAGCUGGUCUGAGAGGAUGAUCAGCCACACUGGAACUGAGACACGGUCCAGACUCCUACGGGAGGCAGCAGUGAGGAAUAUUGCGCAAUGGGGGCAACCCUGACGCAGCAACGCCGCGUGAGUGAGGAAGGUUUUCGGACCGUAAAGCUCUGUCGAGCGGGAAGAAAUGUAUCAUGGCUAAUAUCCAUGAUACUUGACGGUACCGCUAAAGGAAGCACCGGCUAACUCCGUG
rnacentral:rRNA from 1 species